GAAAGAAAGAAAGAAAGAAAGAAAGAAAGAGGAGUGUGAAUGACGGCGUCCAUGUUUGCAGCUGCAGUUGCUUCCAGAUGAAUAAUUGAAGGGCCGUCAGCCCGGGAGGCGCAGGUUGACACUUUUUAUGGCGGCGACGCCUGAAGGGCCUGAUCAUCGGAGAGUGAAACUGCUCCCAGGACUCUGACCUCCAUCUUGUUUUCAGGUACUCGUAACAGAGGGAGAAGUUCCUCUGACUGCAAUUACUUUUCUUUUCCAGUGUAAGCAUUUUUAAUCUCUGCUUACCUUAGAAAACCCUUUGAUCGGUUUGAUUCCUCUAUGUUGGGUUAUGGGGUGUAAUGUCACUCCAGGCUACGAGGAGGAGCUGCUGUAAGAAGUGAAAUGAGAACGAGAGGCAGAGUUUUGCUUUUUUGACAAACUAAAAAAGGAAAUGGACAAAGAAAGAAAGAAAGAAGGAAAGAAGAAACGAAGGAAAGAAGGAAGGACCAUCAGUAUCUAUUUUCUCCAAAGCGUUACUUAGUCUAGUGGUUACGCAGCUCUGAUCACCACCAGAUGCCACCGGACUCAACCCAAAUAAUGACCUGGAAAUCCCUCCAGAGCAGCUGGCCGACGGCGGCCUCAUCUGGAACCGCCAUCAGUCGCUUGUUAAACGCCGAGUGCCAGUCGGGUGGGAAUGUGGCAGCAUGCGGUCCCAGCCAAUCCAUAACCAGACACCAGGAACGGAGCACCAGCAUCAGAUCAGGCACCUUUUUUCUUUUUUUUUUAAAAGUUUGUGUGGGUGUUUGUGGUCGAUAUAGAAUCUGUACUUCCUCCUCUUUCUCUCAGUCCUGUCUAUGUAAUUGAUCCCAGACUGGACAUUUGAGUUGCCAGCAGCCGUUCAUAUCAUUUUUAUCUUUUAGACAAGCCCUCUACUGCUUCCAGAUGGGGAAAGCACUCCGGGUUCAGGCUUGUUUUUGAAAAAAAAAUCUAAUGCUUUAAUGUCUUUACCUUGCAAAUGGAGAAACCAACAUGAGUGAAACACAGAUGUGGGUCGCUUUGUGAAGCCUUGAUGCCGACCUGUGGAUCGUUUCGUUGUUUAUCUUUGUAAGUGUUUGUUUCUGCGGCCACUGUAAGUGUGAAUGGAUGUUUUGUACACUGCUGACAGUGGCUGUGGUUCAACUCUGUGGAAAACAGCUUGUGCAACAUCCCAGAGUGCUUUCAUGUCAUUAAUUUGUGAUGAUUUGCUUUUAUUGUAUUUCUACAUCGAUCUGCGCAAAAUCUGCCAUCACCUGGAAGGAAUAGCUAAGACAAACAUAAUCAUUUUAAGUUUAAGUUUGCUUUUUUCUUGGCAAAAUUCUAAUUUAAAACAUUUGUUUUUGAGUAAUGUGAUGAAAAAGGAACUAUGAGAGAACAUUUUCCUCUAAAAUCAAUGUUAUUGAAACAGCUAGCUUACAUUUAAUCUCAAAACAGUAAACCUGUUUGACGUUAAUAAAACAUUUUAACGUCAAAUCAUCCUAGAUGCUAUGUUUUAAUCUCCUCCAUUGUCUGUAAUGUUAUGAUACAACAAUGCAAUACUGUUUUUAGCCUUUUGUCACUAGUUGUGCUAGCAGUAGCUUCUAGUAGCAUUAGCUUACCCUGAACUGUAAUAAAAUGUUUUAAAAACUUCAUGUGACUCACUGAACCUGAUCCUAUUCA